UAUGCCGAAAAGCAAACGUUUCAUAUUUAUUGAUAUUUAUUGGGACAGAGGGAGUACAAAGUAAUUUCUUUUCAAUCACAUGAAUAGAACCUCCAUAUUUUGAUUCCAUAAUAUAAAUUCUUGAAAUCACAGUUGAGAAGAAAUAGCUAGAGUAAGAGAGCCGAGAGUCCUUCAAAUUGUUUUCCUGCGACUCUUUGCAACACAGAUUGAGCGGCGAUGGACGUGGAGGAUGUUGAGCAGAGUUGUUGGAAAAUUAUAUCUUGUUUGGUUGUUGGAUUUGUCGGGUCUUCAUACUCGGCAAUUUUCCAUGUUUUGACGUUUCCGCUAAAAUCCUAAAUUUCCUUUGGACUGUUUUAUCAUUGGGUCUUAUUAUUCGAAGUUAGUUUUGUGGAGACAGUAUUCGAGUUUGUUUUAAGUUUCUUAGUUAAUCUUUUGUUUUGGUCGUGUA